rnacentral:rRNA from 1 species
UCUGGUGACAAUGGCAAGGAGGUCACACCUGUUCCCAUGCCGAACACAGAAGUUAAGCUCCUUAGCGCCGAUGGUAGUUG